UCGGGAAUUUUGGGCAAUGGGGGAAACCCUGACCCAGCAACGCCGCGUGAAGGAUGAAGUUUUUCGGAAUGUAAACUUCGAAAGAAUAGGAAAAAUUAAUGACGGUACUAUUUAUAAGGUCCGGCUAACUACGUGCCAGCAGCCGCGGUAAUACGUAGGGACCAAGCGUUGUUCGGAUUUACUGGGCGUAAAGGGCGCGUAGGCGGCGUGGUAAGUCAGUUGUGAAAUCUCCGAGCUUAACUCGGAACGGCCAACUGAUACUGCUGUGCUAGAGUGCAGAAGGGGCAAUCAGAAUUCUUGGUGUAGCGGUGAAAUGCGUAGAUAUCAAGAGGAAUACCUGAGGUGAAGACGGGUUGCUAGGCUGACACUGACGCUGAUGCGCGAAAGCCAGGGGAGCAAACG
rnacentral:rRNA from 1 species